UACGUAGGGGGCAAGCGUUGUCCGGAAUCAUUGGGCGUAAAGCGCGUGUAGGCGGCCACGUAAGUCCGCUCUGAAAGCCCGGGGCUCAACCCCGGGAGGCGGGUGGAUACUGCGUGGCUCGAGUCCGGAAGAGGCGAGUGGAAUUCCCGGUGUAGCGGUGAAAUGCGCAGAUAUCAAGGAGGAACACCGGUGGCGAAGGCGGGGUCCUGGGCCGCAACUGACGGCUGAGGAGCGAAAGCAUGGGGAGCGAACAGG
rnacentral:rRNA from 1 species